UUUAGAAUCGUCCGCGUUGGUGCUCGCGGCCUGGUUCAACAGGGCGCAGUUCAACGGGAAGCAGGAGGGCGCCGCACGGCGCCUGACCUGCGCUGCCCCCGCAACGGUCAGCGGACGAGUCGCAAGACUCUGCAUGCCUCUACACAAGCCACUGGGCGCACCGAACGCGUGCCUGGGAAGGCGAGGCAUGCCGUUCCGCCAGCCCGGAUACCGGCCAACGAGGUGGAUGCGUG
rnacentral:ncRNA from 2 species